UACAGAGGUCUCAAGCGUUGUUCGGAUUCAUUGGGCGUAAAGGGUGCGUAGGCGGCGCGGUAAGUCAGGUGUGAAAUCUCCACGCUCAACGUGGAGGCGCCACCUGAAACUGCCGUGACUCGAGUCCGGUAGGGGAGUGUGGAAUUCCCGGUGUAGCGGUGAAAUGCGCAGAUAGUCGGGAGAACACCAGUAGCGAAGGCGGCACUCUGGGCCGGUACUGACGCUGAGGAGCGAAAGCGUGGGGAGCGAACAGG
rnacentral:rRNA from 1 species